GUUGGUUUCCCACGUUUAUUGUAAAAGCAACAUAACGAGCGGCUCAGAGAGCGCCUCGCGGCGUUUUGAAGUUCAUCCCCACGGUGGGCUGCGUGACCUGCAGGUUGGACAGGCUGCCGAAGUCCAGGAGCUUCAGCAUUUCCUUGGUGUCCGGGUCCACUUCAAUGAUCUCCUGAUCGAGAGCAGAGACCUCGGGCACGUAGUUGUCCCGGCGCUCCCUCUCCUCCUCCUGCAGCUUAAUGGAGAUACCCCGGACGGGGCCCCGCUGGAUGCGCUUCAUCAGGUGGGUGACAUACCCCGCGAUCUUGUUGCGCAGCUUCUUGCUGGGGAUGAUGGCGAUCUCCUCGCACACGCGCUUGUUGGUGUGGAAGUCGUUGCCCAGACGGGUGUAGUACUUCUCGAUGAUCACCCGCGCCGCCUUCUUCACCGUCUUCGUCCUCACGCGUCCCAUGGCUGCGGCGGCCGCGGAGAAAGAGAGCGCAGAGGAGGGCCGGAAGCGCGAGGGGACGCCGGAAGCGCGCGGCGCGCACAGCGCCCCCUGGCGGGCAGGAGGACGCGGGGGGCCGUAAAGGCUCGGAGGGGGCGUGGCCUGGCGCCCAGCACCCACUCCCGUGUCCUCGUCGAGCAGUGACAGCGGCCCCCGGAGGCCGUGCCGCGUGAAGACAGCCGGCACGGCCUUGUCGCUGAGCCUUGCGGCCCCAAGGCCCCGUUUCAGCGCUGCAAGCCUCCUCGGGGCACUAAAGGGUGCGACACGGCCCAGCCCUCGAGCAGCCACAGGGCUCCCAUCCCGCUCUGCAGCCCAGAGGCAGAGCCGGGGGGAAAACUACGGAGCUAACGUGCAUCAGCCCCCUACAUUCAACCAUGAGGAGAAACACACGUAAGGAACACAGGCCCACCUCCCCUCUAGGGGCACUGGCCGCCCUCAUAUCAGGAACCUGGGAGCCCCUACAGAGCAUGCCUUCAGCAUCCCAUGAGCCGCAUUGAGAAGCAAGCUCCAGCUGGAACCCUGAAACAGCAUGUCCCAGGCCCUGCUCCAGUACCCACAUCACCCACCAUACCAGUUAUCUCAUCUUCCCCUAUAAGAGAUGAGAACAGCUCUAACCCAGGGGCAGAGAGCCCAUGCACAAGGUGUGUGCAGGCUGAAAGAAGGGAGCACAGAGGGCUUUUUGCUGCAACGUGUUUAUUAUGUGCCAAAAACUACACCACAGCUUACUCCACGCGUCUGUAGGAGAGUGCAGUCUUGCCUGCAUAUACUACAAUGAGGUAGAGACUUCACACACAGCUUCACGAAAACCCCACAAAGAGCAGCUGGGAUAUGCAACAAUGCAACAUCAGCUCAGCAGGAGAGGGAGAAAUUAUGACACUGGUUCUUUGGCACACAGCUUCUGAUAGAGGGGAAAGUAAAAAAAAAAUUCUCAAAUCCCAGCAGCAUUUCAGUCGACUGCACCAUUACUUCAUACAUGUCUGAAACAAAAGGAAGAGUACUUGUCCCCUCUAAGAGAAAGGGCUCCUAUGAACCUCCAUCCGUCCACUGAAACGCAGCCCUUUUUUAGCUAGUUACAAAAGGAAAGUAAGUCCUGUGACUUUGUGAUUAAAAACCUCUAUCAACCCCCCUUAAGUGCAACAAACUAUUUAAAACUAUAUACAGCAGCUCAGAGAUCAUUUAUCC
rnacentral:lncRNA from 1 species